rnacentral:rRNA from 1 species
UACGUAGGGUGCAAGCGUUAUUCGGAAUUACUGGGCGUAAAGCGUGCGCAGGCGGUGCUGUAAGUCAGGUGUGAAAUCCCCGGGCUUAACCUGGGAACUGCAUUUGUGACUGGAUCGCUGGAGUGCGGCAGAGGGGGAUGGAAUUCCGCGUGUAGCAGUGAAAUGCGUAGAUAUGCGGAGGAACACCGAUGGCGAAGGCAAGCCCCUGGGCCUGCACUGACGCUCAUGCACGAAAGCGUGGGGAGCAAACAGG